UACGGAGGGGGCCAGCGUUGUUCGGAAUCAUUGGGCGUAAAGGGCGCGUAGGCGGCCAAUCAAGUCCGACGUGAAAUUCCCCGGCUCAACCGGGGGCCUGCGUCGGAUACUGCUUGGCUUGAGUCCCGGAGAGGGUAGUGGAAUUCCCAGUGUAGCGGUGAAAUGCGUAGAUACUGGGAGGAACACCGGUGGCGAAGGCGGCUACCUGGACGGGUACUGACGCUGAGGCGCGAAAGCUAGGGGAGCAAACAGG
rnacentral:rRNA from 1 species